CUUGCUGUUGUAACUGUCGCACAUUCUGCAGGUGUUUCCUUCACUUCCGCCAGUGCUCGACGCUCGACACAAGCUCGACAGUCCGCCGGCAGCGCACCCACCACACCAGAGGCUCCCCUUCAACGACUCUUCCUCUGUGAUAAGUUCAUGCUCGAAGACUACAAUCCUUGAAGGCACUUACAUAUUCUCCUUCAACCAACUCUGAAAUUUUCUCCAGAUUGUAUAAAAUUGUAUUUGGGAUACUAGAGAAGGUUCGUGCUUUCCUACUAGAGAAGGUUGGUGAUACUCCACAAAAGAAAAAGAAAGGCAUACUUGGUGCUAAAGGUGUGAUAAAGAAGUAAGAUCAUGGCUUUGAAGCUUUCUUUCUUUUAUCCUUAUAUACAUGUUUCCUACUGGUUUUGUCUCUCCUCUUAUUUCUUUUUUAGUGUUUUU